UUCACUUCACUGCAUUUUGCUAGGGCUGU
rnacentral:piRNA from 1 species